GGCUCCGUAGCUCAGCUGGAUAGAGCGUCGGUUUCCUAAACCGUGCGUCGGAGGUUCGAGUCCUCUCGGGGCCGCCA
rnacentral:tRNA from 2 species